GCUUAGCCCUAAACAUAGACAGCAUUAAUACAAUCCUGUCCGCCAGAGAACUACAAGCGAAAAGCUCAAAACUCCAAGGACUUGGCGGUGCUUCAAACCACCCUAGAGGAGCCUGUCCUAUAAUCGAUACUCCACGUUUUACCUUACCGCCACUAGUCAAUUCAGCCUAUAUACCGCCGUCGUCAGCUUACCUUAUGAAAGCAAUAAAGUAAGCAAAAGAGUUAUCAACUAACACGUCAGGUCAAGGUGUAGCAAACGGGGCGGCAGAGAUGGGCUACAUUUUUUCAAAGGAAAAAUACGAACAGAAUAUUGAAACACACCCUCAAAGGCGGAUUUAGUAGUAAAAUAUAAAAGAAAAUAUAUUUUAAACCCGCUCUGAAGCGCGCACACACC
rnacentral:rRNA from 1 species